rnacentral:rRNA from 1 species
AUUGAACGCUGGCGGCAUGCCUUACACAUGCAAGUCGAACGGUAACAGGUCUUCGGAUGCUGACGAGUGGCGAACGGGUGAGUAAUACAUCGGAACGUGCCCGAUCGUGGGGGAUAACGAGGCGAAAGCUUUGCUAAUACCGCAUACGAUCUACGGAUGAAAGCGGGGGAUCUUCGGACCUCGCGCGGACGGAGCGGCCGAUGGCAGAUUAGGUAGUUGGUGGGAUAAAAGCUUACCAAGCCGACGAUCUGUAGCUGGUCUGAGAGGAUGAUCAGCCACACUGGGACUGAGACACGGCCCAGACUCCUACGGGAGGCAGCAGUGGGGAAUUUUGGACAAAGGGCGAAAGCCUGAUCCAGCCAUGCCGCGUGCAGGAUGAAGGCCUUCGGGUUGUAAACUGCUUUUGUACGGAACGAAAAGCCUCUUUCUAAUAAAGAGAGGUCAUGACGGUACCGUAAGAAUAAGCACCGGCUAACUACGUG